rnacentral:rRNA from 1 species
UGGGGAAUAUUGGACAAUGGGCGCAAGCCUGAUCCAGCCAUGCCGCGUGAGUGAUGAAGGCCCUAGGGUUGUAAAGCUCUUUCACCGGUGAAGAUAAUGACGGUAACCGGAGAAGAAGCCCCGGCUAACUUCGUGCCAGCAGCCGCGGUAAUACGAAGGGGGCUAGCGUUGUUCGGAUUUACUGGGCGUAAAUCGCACGUAGGCGGACUUUUAAGUCAGGGGUGAAAUCCCGGGGCUCAACCCCGGAACUGCCUUUGAUACUGGAAGUCUUGAGUAUGGUAGAGGUGAGUGGAAUUCCGAGUGUAGAGGUGAAAUUCGUAGAUAUUCGGAGGAACACCAGUGGCGAAGGCGGCUCACUGGACCAUUACUGACGCUGAGGUGCGAAAGCGUGGGGAGCAAACAGG